GAUGAAGAACGCAGCGAAAUGCGAUAAGUAGUGUGAAUUGCAGAAUUCAGUGAAUCAUCGAAUCUUUGAACGCACAUUGCGCCCCUUGGUAUCCCGAGGGGCAUGCCUGUUCGAGCGUCAUUUCACCACUCAAGCCUGGCUUGGUGUUGGGCGACGUCCCCUUUGGGGACGCGCCUCGAAACGCUCGGCGGCGUGGCACCGGCUUUAAGCGUAGCAGAAUCUUUCGCUUUGGAAGUCGGGGCCCCGUCUGCCGGAAGACCUACUCGCAAGGUUGACCUAGGAUCAGGCAGGGAUACCCGCUGAACUUAAGCAUAUCAAUAAGCGGAGGA
rnacentral:misc_RNA from 1 species